AAACAAACCAUUAGAAGUGUUUUUAUACACACCAAGCAAUAUAUCUAAUAGCAGAAAUGCAGCAGAUACGUAGUGGCAGGAAAGGCAAAACUCAUUAUAAGAGCAAUCAUUGGUUAAUUUGCCAUAACAAAACAAGCCUAACGGCACAUCUCAAACAUAUGAACUUAAAAAAAAAUUCCUCCCAAUGCCUGCUGCUCUAUCGAACCCAGCUGAACGCGAGGGUGUCUGAUCUAACGUGAUAACUGGGCAAGUUGGGGUUUGGUGUGCGACAAUUUUUUUCCCGCCAAGAACGUCGACUCCAUCGAUGUGUCUCCUUCCUGCUGUUGGGUUCAACUUUGCUGAAGAUCGACAACUAGAGUUCCAUGUUGCCUACGGACACAAAGUACAACGAUGUUGCUGGAGUUCGAUGCUAGGGUUCCAUAUUGGAGUUCGACUGCCAGAGUUCGAUGUUACCUAAGGCUGUGAAGAACGGUCAACUACUGGGAUUCGACUUUGCUAGAGUUCAACGUUGGGAUUCAAUGCUCACGUCCUAUAAUUGGGUCUCUGCUAGGGUUUCGACGUUGCAAGGUGUUUCUCACUAGGUUACUAGUUGCGUUGCUUCUGGAGGAACUUCUACGUUCAUGCAUCAUAUUCAUCUUUGAUAAGUAUUUAAGGUUUUGAACAAAUAGGCUUGAGAAAACAGACGGCUCACCGGGAAUAUCAGCGAACCGCGGUUGCGUGUGGUGGCCGUUGCAUACAACCACCGCUUCAAAACCCUCCGUCUCC